AGCUAUGACUAGACCAUCUGAACUGCCCACCUGAUCUUACCUGAUCUCUGAGGUUAAGCAGGAUUGGACCUAGUUAGUACAUGGAUGGAAAACUAUUCUAAGAAAGUAUCGGCAUGAUUACUC
rnacentral:rRNA from 1 species